GAUGAACGCUGGCGGCGUGCCUAAUACAUGCAAGUCGAGCGAACGGACGAGAAGCUUGCUUCUCUGAUGUUAGCGGCGGACGGGUGAGUAACACGUGGAUAACCUACCUAUAAGACUGGGAUAACUUCGGGAAACCGGAGCUAAUACCGGAUAAUAUUUUGAACCGCAUGGUUCAAAAGUGAAAGACGGUCUUGCUGUCACUUAUAGAUGGAUCCGCGCUGCAUUAGCUAGUUGGUAAGGUAACGGCUUACCAAGGCAACGAUGCAUAGCCGACCUGAGAGGGUGAUCGGCCACACUGGAACUGAGACACGGUCCAGACUCCUACGGGAGGCAGCAGUAGGGAAUCUUCCGCAAUGGGCGAAAGCCUGACGGAGCAACGCCGCGUGAGUGAUGAAGGUCUUCGGAUCGUAAAACUCUGUUAUUAGGGAAGAACAUAUGUGUAAGUAACUGUGCACAUCUUGACGGUACCUAAUCAGAAAGCCACGGCUAACUACGUGCCAGCAGCCGCGGUAAUACGUAGGUGGCAAGCGUUAUCCGGAAUUAUUGGGCGUAAAGCGCGCGUAGGCGGUUUUUUAAGUCUGAUGUGAAAGCCCACGGCUCAACCGUGGAGGGUCAUUGGAAACUGGAAAACUUGAGUGCAGAAGAGGAAAGUGGAAUUCCAUGUGUAGCGGUGAAAUGCGCAGAGAUAUGGAGGAACACCAGUGGCGAAGGCGACUUUCUGGUCUGUAACUGACGCUGAUGUGCGAAAGCGUGGGGAUCAAACAGGAUUAGAUACCCUGGUAGUCCACGCCGUAAACGAUGAGUGCUAAGUGUUAGGGGGUUUCCGCCCCUUAGUGCUGCAGCUAACGCAUUAAGCGCUCCGCCUGGGGAGUACGACCGCAAGGUUGAAACUCAAAGGAAUUGACGGGGACCCGCACAAGCGGUGGAGCAUGUGGUUUAAUUCGAAGCAACGCGAAGAACCUUACCAAAUCUUGACAUCCUUUGACAACUCUAGAGAUAGAGCUUUCCCCUUCGGGGGACAAAGUGACAGGUGGUGCAUGGUUGUCGUCAGCUCGUGUCGUGAGAUGUUGGGUUAAGUCCCGCAACGAGCGCAACCCUUAAGCUUAGUUGCCAUCAUUAAGUUGGGCACUCUAAGUUGACUGCCGGUGACAAACCGGAGGAAGGUGGGGAUGACGUCAAAUCAUCAUGCCCCUUAUGAUUUGGGCUACACACGUGCUACAAUGGACAAUACAAAGGGCAGCGAAACCGUGAGGUCAAGCAAAUCCCAUAAAGUUGUUCUCAGUUCGGAUUGUAGUCUGCAACUCGACUACAUGAAGCUGGAAUCGCUAGUAAUCGUAGAUCAGCAUGCUACGGUGAAUACGUUCCCGGGUCU
rnacentral:rRNA from 1 species